rnacentral:tRNA from 3 species
GGCCGGGUAGUUCAGCUGGUUAGAACGCUAGCCUGUCACGCUAGAGGUCGUGGGUUCGAACCCCAUCUCGGUCGCCA